UACGUAGGGGGCAAGCGUUGUCCGGAAUCAUUGGGCGUAAAGAGCGUGUAGGCGGCUUGGUAAGUCCGCUGUGAAAGUCCAGGGCUCAACCCUGGAAAGCCGGUGGAAACUGUCAAGCUUGAGUCCGGAAGAGGCGGGUGGAAUCCUGGUGUAGCGGUGAAAUGCGCAGAUAUCAGGAGGAACACCGAUGGCGAAGGCAGGUCUCUGGGCCGACUACUGC
rnacentral:rRNA from 1 species